UAGAGUUUGAUCCUGGCUCAGGAUGAACGCUAGCGACAGGCUUAACACAUGCAAGUCGAGGGGCAGCGGGGAGGUAGCAAUACUUCCGCCGGCGACCGGCGCACGGGUGAGUAACGCGUAUGCGACCUGCCCGUUGCAGGGGGAUAAUCGGGAGAAAUCCCGUCUAAUACCGCGUAAUGCCGCGGGGCUGCAUGGCCCUGCGGCCAAAGGGAGCGAUUCCGGCAACGGAUGGGCAUGCGUGACAUUAGCUAGUUGGCGGGGCAACGGCCCACCAAGGCGACGAUGUCUAGGGGUUCUGAGAGGAAGGUCCCCCACACUGGUACUGAGACACGGACCAGACUCCUACGGGAGGCAGCAGUGAGGAAUAUUGGUCAAUGGGCGCGAGCCUGAACCAGCCAAGUCGCGUGAGGGAUGACGGCCCUACGGGUUGUAAACCUCUUUUGUCGGGGAGCAAAUUCCGUUACGUGUAACGGAGUCGAGAGUACCCGAAGAAAAAGCAUCGGCUAACUCCGUGCCAGCAGCCGCGGUAAUACGGAGGAUGCGAGCGUUAUCCGGAUUUAUUGGGUUUAAAGGGUGCGUAGGCGGACUGUCAAGUCAGCGGUAAAAUACGGGGGCUCAACCUCCGCCCGCCGUUGAAACUGACGGUCUUGAGUGGGCGAGAAGUAUGCGGAAUGCGUGGUGUAGCGGUGAAAUGCAUAGAUAUCACGCAGAACUCCGAUUGCGAAGGCAGCAUACCGGCGCCCAACUGACGCUGAAGCACGAAAGCGUGGGUAUCGAACAGGAUUAGAUACCCUGGUAGUCCACGCAGUAAACGAUGAAUACUAGCUGUCCGGGGCGAAUGAGCCCUGGGUGGCACAGCGAAAGCGUUAAGUAUUCCACCUGGGGAGUACGCCGGCAACGGUGAAACUCAAAGGAAUUGACGGGGGCCCGCACAAGCGGAGGAACAUGUGGUUUAAUUCGAUGAUACGCGAGGAACCUUACCCGGGCUCAAACGACACAGGAACGUACCUGAAAGGGUUCGGCUCUACGGAGCCUGUGUCGAGGUGCUGCAUGGUUGUCGUCAGCUCGUGCCGUGAGGUGUCGGCUUAAGUGCCAUAACGAGCGCAACCCCUGUCCACAGUUGCCAGCAGGUAAAGCUGGGGACUCUGUGGAGACUGCCGGCGCAAGCUGCGAGGAAGGCGGGGAUGACGUCAAAUCAGCACGGCCCUUACGUCCGGGGCGACACACGUGUUACAAUGGCAGGUACAGCGGGAUGCCACGGGGCGACCCGGCGCUGAACCCGAAAACCUGUCUCAGUUCGGAUUGGAGUCUGCAACCCGACUCCAUGAAGCUGGAUUCGCUAGUAAUCGCGCAUCAGCCACGGCGCGGUGAAUACGUUCCCGGGCCUUGUACACACCGCCCGUCAAGCCAUGGAAGCCGGGGGUACCUGAAGUGCGUGACCGCGAGGAGCGCCCUAGGGUAAAACUGGUGACUGGGGCUAAGUCGUAACAAGGUAGCCGUAA
rnacentral:rRNA from 1 species